rnacentral:lncRNA from 1 species
UGGCGCAGUAGUUUCAGAGGAGAAGAUUUUUGUAAAAGAUUACUAAGAUUUACGAAAAAUGGUUAAAAAUUGACUAUAAAGGGCAAUAACUCCUUAAGGGGUCAACUGACCAUUUCGGUCAUGUUGACUUAUUUGUAAAUCUUACUUUGUUGAACAUUAUUGCUGUUUACAGUUGAUCUCUAUCUAUAAUAAUAUUCAAGAUAAUAACCAAAAACAGUAAAAUUUCCUUAAAAUUACCAAUUCAGGGGCAGCAACCCAACAACAGGUUGUCCGAUUCAUCUGAAAAUUUUAGGGCAGAUAGAUUUUGACCUGAUGAACAAUUUUUCCCCCCUGUCAGAUUUUCUCUAAAUGCUUUGGUUUUUGAGUUAUAAGCCAAAAACUGCAUUUUACCCCCAUGUUCUAUUUUUAGCCAUGGCGGCCAUCUUGGUUGGUUGACCGGGUCACCGGACACAUUUUUAAAACUAGAUACCCCAAUGAUGAUUGUGGCCAUGUUUGGUUUAAUUUGGCCCAG